AACCAGUGAUGUAAUGAUUCUGCCAAAUGAGAUAAAAUGAUAUCACCUAUAAAACCGUUCCACUUUGUUUCUGAGGUU
rnacentral:snoRNA from 1 species